UAGGGAAUCUUCCACAAUGGACGCAAGUCUGAUGGAGCAACGCCGCGUGAGUGAAGAAGGUUUUCGGACCGUAAAGCUCUGUUGUUGGUGAAGAAGGAUAGAGGUAGUAACUGGCCUUUAUUUGACGGUAAUCAACCAGAAAGUCACGGCUAACUACGUGCCAGCAGCCGCGGUAAAUACGUAGGUGGCAAGCGUUGUCCGGAUUUAUUGGGCGUAAAAGCGAGCGCAGGCGGAAGAAUAAGUC
rnacentral:rRNA from 1 species